rnacentral:rRNA from 1 species
CGAACGGGUGAGUAACGCGUGAGGAACCUGCCUCAAAGAGGGGGACAACAGUUGGAAACGACUGCUAAUACCGCAUAAGCCCACGGGUCGGCAUCGACCAGAGGGAAAAGGAGCAAUCCGCUUUGAGAUGGCCUCGCGUCCGAUUAGCUAGUUGGUGAGGUAAUGGCCCACCAAGGCGACGAUCGGUAGCCGGACUGAGAGGUUGAACGGCCACAUUGGGACUGAGACACGGCCCAGACUCCUACGGGAGGCAGCAUG